AUGACUUUGAUCUCCGUCCUCAUCUGGACUCUCCUCUGCUGCUGCUUCACAGAGUCCAGAGGCCAGAUCACAGUGACUCAGCCUGCAGCAGUGAGAUCUGCUCUGGGAGGAUCUGCAACCAUCAGCUGUACAGUCAGUCAGGAUGUUUACAAUGGUAAAAACUUAGCCUGGUACCAACAGAGAGAUGGAGAAACUCCUAAACUUCUCAUUUACGCUGCUACCACUCGAGUAUCAGGGAUUCCAGGUCGUUUUACAGGCAUUGGAUCAAACUCUGACUUCACUCUGACCAUCAGUGGAGUUCAGGCUGAAGAUGCAGCAGUUUAUUACUGUCAGAGUCUCCACUAUCCCAACAGUCAGUGGGUGUUCACACAGGGAAAAAGCGUCGUAUGA